rnacentral:rRNA from 1 species
UACGGAGGGUGCGAGCGUUGUUCGGAAUUACUGGGCGUAAAGCGCGUGUAGGCGGCUAAGUAAGUCGGGCGUGAAAUCCCACGGCUCAACCGUGGAAGUGCACUCGGAACUGCAUAGCUAGAGUCCUGGAGAGGAAGGUGGAAUGCUUGGUGUAGAGGUGAAAUUCGUAGAUAUCAAGCGGAACACCGGUGGCGAAGGCGGCCUUCUGGACAGUGACUGACGCUGAGACGCGAAAGCGUGGGGAGCAAACAGG